rnacentral:lncRNA from 1 species
UGCCUCCCAGUGCCGGGUGCUGGCCUGCAGCCUUCCGGGAGGGAGUAGGAGACAGUGACUUUGUGGGGAGGUGACACUUGAGCUGGGCCUGUAUUUUGGGUUAGUUCUGGACGCACAUCCCAGUGCACCUGGAUCUUCGGGUCUGCUGCAGGCCUCCUGGAGGCUCUGGGAGCCGGGCAUCCUGGUGGCAAGGGCAGGAGGGUGGAAGGUCGAGGUGCUGAGCUCCCACUGGGUGCACCAGGCACUUUGUAGCUGUUCAGAGUAAGGAGUUGAGGUCACCUCCUGAACCACUCCUGGUCCGAAACUCCUGAUUUGGGAUUUGCCAAAACCCAGAAUUAGGGGUGUGGUGGGGGGUGGUAGUGGUUGGCUUCAAUGCACUGUAUUUGUGAAUUCUUCAAACACAGCUUCUCCCUACUCCUGCAGGCUUUCAGGUGAUUUUCCAGGACAGAGUCCCUCAGCUGUAAAGAGACUGAAGUUUGGAAACUACAUCCAGAACUUCACAGUGUGUAUUCAGGUGGUCAUCCUUCAGGCCUGCAGGUGGACAGCAAGAGCAACAGUGAUGUUUCCUGAAUUUUAUGUUUCCAGAAACAUGGAGGUAGCUCCUGUUAUUUUAACUUUAAAGAAAAUGCAACUGAGGCAUGAAGAGGUAAGUAACUGGUUUGCCCAAGGAUAUAUAAUCAUGAAGUGGCAAAGCCUUAGACUUGGCAUGAUCUGAAUGGCAGCCAUUUUUUUUUCACAAAUUCAAUGUUUGAUCUAUUUCAUAUAUUCACUAAAAGGAUUUACUAUCAAAUGAUACUUUCUGAUAAAACCUAUGAAAACUGCAGAUGAGUAUUGCUCCAAAGCAAAUACUUGAGGCUAGCAUUACGUGUAGCAGGUAAAGCCAUUGUCUUUAAAUUUAGCAAAGAUAUGCCUUGUUAGAUGAGUGUACUUUGUGUAAUUCUUCUUGUCAGUGUAUACACUUUAGAAAUUGAUUACAGGGGCCAGUGCUGUGGCACAGCAUGUUAAAACCCCAACCUAGGGUGCCAGCAUCCCAUAUGGGUGCUGGUUUGAGUUCCAGUUGCUCCACUUCUGAUCUGGCUCCUUGCUAAUGCACCUGGGAAAGCAUCAGAGGAUGGCUCAAGUCCUUGGGCCCCUGCACCCAUGUGGGAGACCUGAGAAAAGCUCCUGGCUCCGGGCUUCAGAUCAGCUCAGCUCCGGCUUUUGCAGCCAAUUGAGAAGUGAACCAGCAGAUUGAAGACUUUUCUCUCUGUCUCUACUUCUCUAUGUAACUCUGUCUUUCAAAUAAAUAAAAAUAAAUCUAGAAAAAAAGAAAUUGA